GUAGGUGAACCUGCGGAAGGAUCAUUAACACGUUUAUUAAAACCAAACGUACCAAAACUCUGUGAACAGAGAUUGUGUGAACAAUCUCGCCCCCUUUUUUUAACCAAUAUCACAAACCCCAAAAAAACAAUUAGACUCGGAUUUUUCCCCAUUUAAUUGUCUUGUAACUAAAUUUUACUUAUUCUUUUAAGCCUAAAAAACUUAAGGGAAACAAAAAGAUGUCUCUUGUCUUCCUUUCGAGGAAAUCUGG
rnacentral:misc_RNA from 1 species